AUAACCUCGGUGGAAUUGGUAAACGCGACAGACUUCGAAUCUGCUCCAGGUUAUCGGUUCGAAUCCGAUAGCGGGUA
rnacentral:tRNA from 1 species